GUGACUGUGGGAAACAAGGAUUUUUUUUUUUAAAAGGCCAGGAUUAUGCUGCUACCCAGUGUCUUUGUGGGGAAACUUUGAUUUACUGAGGGAAGAUUUAACCAAAGUCAAGAAAAGCAGUAGCAGCUGUCCCGGUCGUCCUCUCUGAAAGAGUAUGCUUCAUGGUUGUUACACCAUCACAGACAAAAAGAUGAAAGCUGUCUCCUUCAUGCAUCUAAAAACAGCCUCAUAUUAGUGGAUUAUCACUUCACCUGUCACACUCUUCCAUCUGUAUCAACAUGUGACAGAUGUUUCCAGAGACACAGAUUAACGAGGUUCGACCUGUUCCUUGUGCGUACCUGAAGCUCGGGUCUUGCCUCUGGGCCCUGGAUUCAGGAGAGGCCUACCUGCCAGCGCAGGGUGCAUCAGGAGGGCCGGCGCUCUCAUUACAGCUACAAUGAAAUAAUUAUGAAUGGUGCGCAGAGACCUCAUCACAGGAAUAUCUAUUGUAUUAUUUAUUCAGCCAGUCCCCUGGUUCAGGGGGAGAGAACACAUAUAAACUUGCAGCCUCGCUCCUCUCCUCCUCACUCAAGCUCCUGUUUGCUGCUCAAAGCAGAGGUGCCCGCACGCUCGCUCACUUUCUUUCAUUCUUUCUUUUUUUUUUCAUUCCCUUUCUUUGUUGUUUUUUCUUCCGAGAUGUGGCACAGGGAGCAUCCAUCGAGGCCCUGAGGCCUUAACACAGUCCAGCCUGCCAGCUGUGGACGCUCUACACUUGCCCUCUUCUUUAUUUUUUUAUUUGCUCUCUUGUUUUUCUGUGUUUUUGGGGUUUUGUUAUUUUUUUGUACAACUGGAGCAGGUCAAUUUUACCAGAGGACUACAAACAAGAACUAGCAGGGAUUUGAAGGGAUGCAUUCUCAGAUUCCACAGCCUGGCUUUGGCUGAAGAACAUCUAUGAAAACAAUUUAUUUUUAUUUUGCACUCGAGAUAAACUUCCCGUGAAUAUAUUUGCGCUGUGGAAGAGAAAGAGAAGUACUUGAAGGACGACAUGACGGCCUGACAGACUUAUGAAGAGAAACUUUGUUAUGCAGAGCACCGAGGGUCACGGAGGACGAUGCUGCUGCAGCAACAGCAUGCACGCUGCACAAUAGGCCUCAUUCAGAGGGUGGAUGUGUAGGUGGUGCAUGAGAUGAUGGACAACAAAGAGGCAUAAAGAGAGAGAGAGAGCGCUGAAGUGGCUGGGAUGACAGCUGCACCAUGGGGAUCAGGAGGGAGGCGUCGCCCGGGGCACAACAGACGGGAUAUGUUAGAGCAACGUUCAUCGAGAAACAGAUUUGGAGUAUCAUCAAGUAUGCCUUGAAGACACAAAACAGUUUACCUGUUGCCCUCCCACCACACCAGGAAACAGCCAGAGGUUCAUCGUGAAGGUCAGGAUUGGCCAGACUGCAGCUUAAAGCACUGAUGUUCAAUACUGCAACCCUCUGAACAUCCUCUGAGUGCAUGCUUGUGAUGAAGAAUCAAGGAGGAGGAGUUGAAGUCAACUUUUCUGCAUUUAACAAUCUGGUUCAAACAAAGACAUUUAUUUGCAAACUCUUGUAGCGGUCACUACGCAUUGUGGAGCCAGUUUGAGGUUCAGUGUUUUCUACUUUUGAUCCUUGUGGAAAUGUCAUUCCUAGGUUUUUUCCUCAGCAGUGAAGCAACUCGUACAGUCAUUUUGAAGCACAUUAUGCACAGUUAAAGAAA